AGGAGGGAGACCUGGAAGAACAUGACUAGACCCAUGAAGAAGUCUGAGAUGGCCAGAGAGAGGAGCAGGAAGUUGGUAGAGUUGUGGAGCCGACAACUCCAUAAACUGCACCAACACGGCUCAAUGGUGUGGCGUCCUGCAGACGACGCCCUUUGACACGUGUAACUCCAACAUCGACCCUCAGCCCUUCAUCAGUGCCUGUUCAGAAACGUUGUGCAAAUACCCAUCACAGGACGGGCUGGAGUGCCAGUACCUGGAGGCCUACGCCGAGGCCUGCCGACUCCACAGCAGUGUGAGGGUGGAGGGCUGGAGGACGCCGACCAUCUGCUCUGGAGUACAGCGGGCAGCCUGUCAGAGCUGCAGCUCUCAUGAGUUCUGUGGUCUGGACACUCACAGUCAGAAGCCUCGCUGUCAUUGUCGCGCCAUUUUUGCCUCCAAGUACAAACCAACAGGAAGCUUUGGUGAGCCGUUGGUUUGUGAGAAGAAAUCUGCCUCGGUGGUUCUGGCCAACUGUCUCCUGGAGGACGAAAGCAUCGACUACACCACCUUACACCUCAAUGACCAGACCUGCAAAGGAGAAAUGGACAACGUGACCCACAUGGUGACCUUUGGCUUCGACACUGAGAGGCCAUGUGGAACCCUGAUCAUGGUGGGUAUCUUCUCCAGUUUAAAACCUAUCUUUAAAGUUAACAUUCUUCCUAAUGUCUGUGGGUUGAAGAGAAAAUGUUAGAAAUAAAAAAAAAAAACUAUCAAAAUCUCAGAUCUCUGAAGGCCUAAUAGUUAAGAUGUCGCCAGUGUCAUGAGCCCAAACCAUCAUCCUCCCACCCCAUCUAAAUAUCCAUUUUUAGGUGGUUCUAACUUGAAAAAUUAAAUCAGAAGUCAGGAGGAUGAGGAGCAAAAGGUUUUUUCUAAAUUGCAAAAAAAAAAAAAA